CCUUUGGUUGCACAAAUCAGAUCAACCUACAGGAAAGAAAAACUGAAGCAUAGAGAACUCACUACGAAGAGAAGAUCAGCUUUCUGCAACCAAGUUGUGCUCCUGGGCUUGAGAUCAGUGUCCAAUGGGCCGACCUCUUCAAAGUUUCCAAACCCAACUCCUGAAGCUCCCUUUUCAAAGACGAUCAGGAUUCAGGCCACCCUGCAACCAGAGCACAGUUGGCCAUGGCGUCGACCCGUUAUCAAUCCGCUGUGGACUCUGGUACAGCCACCAG